rnacentral:rRNA from 1 species
GACGAACGCUGGCGGCGUGCUUAACACAUGCAAGUCGAACGGAAAGGCCCUGCUUUUGUGGGGUGCUCGAGUGGCGAACGAGUGAGUAACACGUGAGUAACCUGCCCUUGACUUUGGGAUAACUUCAGGAAACUGGGGCUAAUACCGGAUAGGAGCUCCUGCUGCAUGGUGGGGGUUGGAAAGUUUCGGCGGUUGGGGAUGGACUCGCGGCUUAUCAGCUUGUUGGUGGGGUAGUGGCUUACCAAGGCUUUGACGGGUAGCCGGCCUGAGAGGGUGACCGGCCACAUUGGGACUGAGAUACGGCCCAGACUCCUAUGGGAGGCAGCAGUGGGGAAUAUUGCACAAUGGGCGGAAGCCUGAUGCAGCAACGCCGCGUGCGGGAUGACGGCCUUCGGGUUGUAAACCGCUUUCGCCUGUGACGAAGCGUGAGUGACGGUAAUGGGUAAAGAAGCACCGGCUAACUACGUG